GAAGUGGCUGCGCCCAAGGGCCUUGUGGGGGUGGACUCAAGCCCGGGUUCCCGAGCCUCGUAGAAUUUUCUAGAGGCUUUUUUUCUUAUUGCGAGGAACCAGAGUGCGGAAGUCUUGAGGUGGAGAGGUCAUGUCCCAGAGCCCGUAAGCCGGGGACGAGUGCUUCAGGCGUUGUGCGCGCUGUGCUGAAGGGGAUUGGUGGAACCCAGCCCUGGCUGCGAGUCUGAUUUUCUGCAGCUCCAGCUCCUUAGCUCUGAGCCUUGCGGGCAAGAAAUGCUGAGCAAGGCGGGCCUACUCCCUAAACCAGCCUCGCAGGCUUUGGUUUCACCCAAGCGCACUUAUGUCAGAGCUUUUUGGACGAGCCUGGCCCAGGCUUCAGAUCCUUUUGGCUCUGACGACUUGGGCGGAGGGAAUCUGGGACUUCACCAAACAGGAAAACAUUUAGAAUGCCUCAUGCUAACGGAGGGUCAUGGUCUUCCACCCAGUUUGGCCGCAGAGGAGCGGCCAAAAGCAAAAUUAAUUGCUUUAGCUUAUUGUUUUAAUUCUCUGACCGUUUUUAUUUCCAGUUGGUGACUCAAAAAUCUAUAGUUGGCAAAGUUGAAUCUUAAGCUUUCAAAGGACAGAGUGAAUGUUUUUCUUAUUCACUAACACAAUAGAUACAUCAAAGAAGUGGAGGUGUAAGCUUGAAAGAGUUCACAUAUUUUAAAGAUUUAUUUUGAAUCCUCUGUGUGUGUGUGUGUGUGUAGGUGCCCAAGGAAGCCAGAGGCAUGGAGUCUUAAGUCUGGCUUCAAAUUCUGAAAUCUCCUGUCUCUGAGCAGUUGUGAAGGGUGGUACAUGCUCUUAACCGCGGGGCCUCUUGCUUGGACUUUCGUUGGAAGUGGAACAAGCUAAAAACUUAUAAGAGAAAUCACAAAAUACAGGUCAGCAGGUGAACAAGAAGCAGUUAAGCACACUUCCUAAUGGAAGUGCAGAGUGUGGGAUGAGAUUCUUUAAAUGUUCGUUUUAUUGUGUGUUUCUAGGCUUGUGGACCAUUGUAGUUCUCUCGUACCUUUGCACGGGCAACUCAAGUCUUCAGUGCGUUACCAGCUGAGCGGCUGUCUCAGUGCUUUAUGGAGAUCACAGGUAAUUGGAUGUAGCCAGAGCUAAGGGAGCUGGAAAGGCUGUCUUCAAACCUACCCAAAGACAUCUUUAGCUCGUGGUCUUAAAAACCUCCGGAUUUUGGGAUUUCUACCUUGAGCUGUCCUGCCUCUCCACCGUUACUGCUUUCACUAAACUCUGUUGUGGUCACUAAAGCUACGCCACUUCCCUUACAGACUUUUUGAUGAUGUGCUGUGGUUUUGGUUGAGAAACAUCUUUUCUCAGCUUACGUGUUACCCUCUCAGAUAUCACAUCUAUCAAUAGGUUACGUCUUUAAAGCAGGGGCUCUUUACCUUCCUAACGCUGCGACCCUUUAUUACAGCUCCUCAUGUUGUGGUGUCCCCCAACCAUAAAAUUAUUUUCAUUGCUUCUUCAUAACUGCAAUGUUGUUACUGCUGUGAAUUGUAAUAUAAAUAUGUGCCAAAGGUUUUCCGAAGGGAUCAAAACCCACAGGUUUGAGAACUACUGCUUUAAGCCAACACUUUUGAGUAAAAUAUCUACUAUGCCAGGCAUACUCUAGGCCUUGCCAAUACAAAACUCUUGUAAGCCAUGGCCCCUACUCUCAAGGAACUUAACUCGUAAUGAGAUUAAAAACCAGAAUUAAAAACAAAAAACCAAACCAAAACCAUCCAACCAACCAACCAAAAUUGCAGGACUAGGCUGAUAAAGUCUGCCUUUAAUCCCAGCACUCUGAAGGCAGAGGUAGGCAGAUCUCUAAUAUAGAGGCCAGGCCAGUCUACAUAGCAGGUUCCAGGGCAGCCAAAGCUACAGAGUAAGAAAGACCCUGUCUCAAAACAAAUCAAACAAAAAACCUCGAAAAUUACCAGCAACUUCAUAUGUGAUAAUUUUGUGUGGAAAUGAGAUCUUAGCUUAGUUUGGUAGUUCUGAAAAUUCAGAACUAGGAAGCAGAACCAGGAGGCUAGUGAACUCAAGAUCACUUGAGUUAGGUGUGACACCGUCUUUGGAGUGGGAAUAUAACACAUAGAAUGAGUGCUUCUUAUUCUGUUCAAGGCCCUAGGUAUGAUUCCUAGGACUGCAAGAAGAAAAAAGAAAACUAUCUUGCAUGUGUUGUUUACAACGGAUUAUUUUGUUGGGGUAAAUAAAUCAGCCUUGUUAUUUUUUG
rnacentral:lncRNA from 1 species